rnacentral:rRNA from 1 species
AACGAACGCUGGCGGCAUGCCUAACACAUGCAAGUCGAACGAGACCUUCGGGUCUAGUGGCGCACGGGUGCGUAACGCGUGGGAACCUGCCCUUAGGUUCGGAAUAACUCCCCGAAAGGGGUGCUAAUACCGGAUAAUGUCUUCGGACCAAAGAUUUAUCGCCUUUGGAUGGGCCCGCGUUGGAUUAGCUAGUUGGUAGGGUAAAAGCCUACCAAGGCGACGAUCCAUAGCUGGUCUGAGAGGAUGAUCAGCCACACUGGGACUGAGACACGGCCCAGACUCCUACGGGAGGCAGCAGUGGGGAAUAGUGGACAAGGGGAGCAAGGCUGAUCCAGCAAUGCCGCGUGAGUGAUGAAGGCCUUAGGGUUGUAAAGCUCUUUUACCCGGGAUGAUAAUGACAGUACCGGGAGAAUAAGCGCCGGCUAACUCCGUG